GCUGGAGUCUUUGAAGGAGAAAAUGGCAAAGACAGGUGAAGAGAUGAAAAGCACACUGGAUGAAAGAGAAGAAAAUAUGAAUAAUUUAAAGAAACAGGUGGAAAAUAAAACCAAAUGCAUUGAAGAGUUGCAGCAGGAGAAUAAAGUGCUGAAAAAGAAAAUUGCUGCAGAAAGCAAGAAAAGCAUUUCUUAUGAAGGGAAGGUAGGUUUAAAUAACAUCCCAGAAGAUGAGGUGAGUGUUUUUAAUGCCAACACCCUCUGAACUGGGAUACAGAUCCUGCAGGAAUGAGCUCAUAGUUUUUAGAAGAUGCUUCCACUUUUAAUCAUUGGGCUCUGACUGUUGGACAUUUAAGAGCUGGACUUCACAUUGCAAUUAAUUGUGUUUCUAAUCUGUUCCUUUCUUUUUUAAUUCUUUUGUUGGCAGUGGACUGGGUUCAGCAACCUCAUUGUAACAGAAAAGCAUUUCAAAGACACAGAUAUAUACAUAUAUAUUAAUCUUUUUAGGCUGCUCUUUAAAUGUCUUCUGCUGUGGCAAUCCCUCUGAUGGGAAUAUUGUGUCCAGCUUUGGGCACUGCACUUGAAGAAAAGUGGAUUUUUUGGAGGAUAUUCAUAUGAUAAAAGGAAAAAAAUGAAAUCAAAUGCACAGCUGGGAGGAAAAUGUACCAUAAAACCUGUGAAAAUCUUAGACAGAUUUACCAGAGAGGGAAGAAAAUCUCCAUCUGGUUUUGGUUUUUUUCCAAGGCAUUCACAGCAUUUUGGGUGACUGCUCAGGGCAGUGCUCCCCAUUGUUUCUUGGAGUAUUUUCUAACUCACUUCAGGCCAAAAUUCAACUCUUUAUUAAAAAAAUAAGCUGAACUUUUAAAUAGGAAACAUUUUAAUCAUAUACCUGAAAAGUAACAGGGUGUUUCUGCUCAAAAAUAAGAGGUAAGAACAAAUCCUUAACACAGUAAUCCCUAAACAAAUAACAGCAGCAGUUCUGCAUUCUCCAAAGG
rnacentral:lncRNA from 1 species